rnacentral:rRNA from 1 species
GUAGGGAAUAUUGGGCAAUGGAUGCAAGUCUGACCCAGCCAUCCCGCGUGCCGGAAGAAGGCCCUCAGGGUUGUUAACGGCUUUUGACGGUGAAGAAUCGACAGGAUGCGUCCUGUUUUGACGGUAGCCGUUGAAUAAGCACCGGCUAACUCCGUGCCAGCAGCCGCGGUAAUACGGAGGGUGCGAGCGUUGUCCGGAUUUAUUGGGUUUAAAGGGGGCGUAGGCUGGAAGGUCAGUCAGCGGUGAAAAGCUGUCGCUUAACGAUAGUCUUGCCGCAGAUAAUUCCUUUGUUGGAUGAGGAGGAGGCCACUGGAACGGAUGGUGUAGCGGUGAAAUGCAUAGAUAUCAUCCAGAACACCGAUUGCGAAGGCAGGUGGCUGUACCUUAAUCGACGCUGAUGCACGAAAGCAUGGGGAGCAAACAGGAUUAGAUACCCGGGUAGUCC